CCUAGAACGUGGAGAACCGCUCUGGGGAGGCGACCCCCUGUGUGGUCUAAAGUGGCGUCGGAACAGGAACUCAACCGGGGUCAGCUGGGGGCCAGCAGAGGCUCUGAGCCAAGCAGCGGGGGCCCGGGGGAUGCUGUGACGGGCAGGAGCCGAGGAACAGAACAGUCACGCGGACGUGAAGUGCAGCGCAGGGAACAGACUCAGCUGCACGGUGACAACUGUGCGUGGCGCCAGACCAGGGUGUGGGCCGUGUGUUCGGGCUCAAAAACGCCACAUUGCUGAUGCCGUUGACGAGGGUGACGCUGGGCCCAGCAGCCGAGUCCCUUCCGGAGAGCCCAGUGGCAAGUGAGCGCAGCCGUGGCAACUGUCCAAUAGGAGGACGGAGCCCCCCGGACAGCCCUCCUUAUGAGCUAGCCCUGCGGCUUGGCGUGGACUCACACCGCGCGGAGCCUCCGUCGUGGGAAAGCCUUCGCCCGCUGGCCUCCCGCUGUCUGCAGGACCAUGUGCAUGGAAAUGCUCUGGGGAGAGGAACCCUUUGCUCCAAAGGCUCACGUACUGGGGACGACCUGCUGCUUAGAUUUCCCCAGGACAUCUAAGGGAGAGCUGCAGAGACAGCAUCCUGAUUUUCCCAGGGGCUCCCCCCUUUUCUCUGCCAUCGUCUACGGUUCCAGUGUGGUCAAUCCUAUCUGCUGGCCCCAGUCCAAAGCCACUCGCCCCGGCCAGAAGGACUGGUUUGGGGCUGGUCCAAGACACGUCCCAGAACUGAUGGGGGAAAGCGGCCUGCUCUCGGCCAGGGCGGCUCAGACGCGGAUGCCUGAGGAAGAAGGUAGGAGAGAGGGACGCCAGCCAAGAAAGGAGAGAAACCGAAUCCGAGGGCCUGUUCCGGAGCCAGCACCCUGCCCCCGCGGCUGGCGCGGUGGAGGCAGCUGUCCGUCCACUCGGGCACACCACGUCCCGAUGUCCCUGGGAGUGCGGCAGGAGCAGGCCGCACCAGUGAGGUGCAUUGCCCAGGGGCCCCAUCAGGAACUGAACCCCUGUCCCUUCGGCGGGUGUCAGCCCCCUUCGGACACUGCCCCUCGGAGUCACGCUGCCUUGAUAGGUGGGACCCUCUCCCCCGACGUGGGACGUCUCUGAAGGUCCCUCUCGUGUCCAGAGGUCCUUGCUUAGGCUGGUUUGGGGCUUGAACCGCAGCGCGCCCUUUCCCCCUCCCCGGCCACGCGCCCUUCCCUCCUACUCUGCCAGAUCGCUCUCCCAUGCCAAUUCCAGUCUCCGUCUGCCCACCGGAGAGCCCAGCCCACGACGGCUGACACGAGGACAUGCGAAGAAAGGGGACACUCAGAGGAGGUUCUGUAGCUGGACAAACCAACCACUGCUUGUCCGGAGCCGAGAACACCUCCGUGGGGUUGGGGGAGUGCAGAGACCCCCGCACUGGGUAGCAACAGACCGCUCGCUAACCCUCGCUGGAGGUGGGCGGGAUGGCUGCCGGGGGAAGGGAGGGUUAGCUGCGGCAACGGAGCAGACGCUUUACAAACACGGGUGAGGAGGAAAUACAAGGGCAGCGGACAGGAGUGGCUAUUGCUAAGCUCCAAUGGCUGUGGGCAAGCAGGAGCUGCGCGUGAAGGCCACGGCCCUCCCGGCUGGCACCAGAGAGCUCUCAAAUCCCGCGAGAGGGCGGGGACCGUUGAGGACUUCCUUGUCAGCGGGGACAGUUGAGGACUUCCUUGUCAGAACACUUGAGCUCCAAAGAGAGGAAACCCCCAGCCGGGGCAGGUCUGCUAUGCAAGGUCAGGGCCUGGCAGGGAAGCAUCUGGGUUGAUCUGCCCUCAAACCUUGACCUUCCAGAUUCCCUUGAACCUCCAGGUCACUCCUCCCUUUUAAGCCUCCCUUUUAAGGGCCGGCCUCUCCCUGUGCUUGAAGAUGACGCAGAGGCCUGGCCCCUGCAAGGGGGCAUCAGCCACCCUCAGGUCCUGCCUCCACCCACCCCGUUCCUCCCCCACAUCGCUCCCGCUGGGCUGAGAGGGAGGGGGGCACUGAAGGAGCUCAGGAUCCCUGCCUGAGUCAGCGGGAGCUGCAAGAAUAUGCAGGGGCCGCCAUCAGGGCGGAAGGAAUGCAAACUUGCAGGGAGCCGCUGUUUGCUGAUCUGGGAGCCCAUUCCUAGGACACACUGCCAAGGACACCCUGCCAAGAACUCCUGGAGACGCCGAGACAACCCUGGCUCCGAGGAGCCACGGGGACUGGGGGUCCACACGCCGAAGCUGGGACAGUUCCAAGGUGCCUCCCGGCUCCACAGGACUCUGUGGGCUCCACCUGAGGCCCCGGCUGCAACGUCUCCCUCUGCCACAGCCUGCUCUCCUUCCCUCUGCUCCACGGAGGCCAGCUGUGAACAUUACCAACACACUGUCUGCAGCCUAACUUUGACCUCCGAGUCUGCUGCCGGGGGAACCCCACCGGCCACCAACACCACCCCUGGCAGGCCCGAGGCCCCGCCCACACCUGCUCCCCGGGCCUCCGCUUGCACACAGGGGUGAGGGACAAGUGACUGGCCCAAAGCGGACGGUGGCACUGCCAAGUCUCAGUGCCACACACAAGCCCCAUCUUCACAGCCAUUGUUCUGCUUCUUGUGUCCCGCUGUGUUUUCCCAUUUAAUCCAUGUUUUUAUUGCCGCUCUGUUGGCAGAGUGUCUAGAUUUGCAGGCGGAGAAAAACCGAGCGUGUUGGAAGCGGCAGGAACACUCUGUAUGCGACGAUGAGCCAAGUGCCGGAGACUCGUUCGUUCGGUCUCUGGUUUGCUCGCUGAGCGGACUUCGGCGAAGCCCUUACUCUGCGCCAGGCCCUGGGCUCGGUGCCGGGCGUACAGCAAGGAACAGAGCUCAGACCUUGAGUCCACAACGUGGGGUCCGGCGGGACAGAAUGACACGCACACAAGGGAGUGCCAUGAAUCACGGAAAGGCAGACACACGGUGGCUAAAGCUUCCACUUUUCAACCCGCAAGAAUAACCGAGCAGCAUUUUCUGAAGCAGAGGCCCCUGGGGCUGCUGUGCUCCCCCCAGCCCCCACCACCUCCCCACCCAGAGUCAGUAAAACGCUGGCAUCACCUGGCACAGAGCUGGCAAUAAAACUCACACCCUGUCUUUGUUCAACGGAUCCCAUUGUGAGCGUGAGCAUGGGGUGCAGCCCCGUGUCCUGUUUUAUAGAAGUGACACCCAGGCCCCUGGGUGCCAGCACAGGCAGGCGCGGCGCGCCGGCAGCUUUGAGCGGAGCAGAUCCUGUUGCCCACAUUUCCACGUUCGUUUCUUUGCUUGGUGGGAAUUCCCACGGCGAGCAGGAUGAGAGGAGUUCCCUCCGCUCCAGGAGGGAAAGGGUACUGUUCUGUUGGCGGCUAAGAAACAUGGACAGGUGACCUGGGUCUCCCUUCCCCUUUGUCCAGCACCAGCUCCCGUAGCGCCCAUCCAGUCCAGGGGGCACUCGCCAGAACUUCCCGCCGGGAGAAGGAAGCUCACAGAACGAGGGCAGAGACAGUGGGGUCAGAGUUCAGUGCGGCGGAGAAGCAGCAUAGGAAGGAGCAAGACGACUGAUAAUUAACGAACAGGUGAGUCCUGCGGCUUCCCGUCAGCCACAGAGACGACACCAUGGGACUCAGAGGCUUCCUGGCGGGCGGACAGAGGGAUGUGGGUGGACCGCUGGCAGGAGGGGUUACUGCCCAAAGCUGUAACAUCAAGGAGGGGGGCCACGCUGGGGGUCGGAAUCUAGACGCUAUUCCUUGCUACGCCCCUAGCGCCUCGCCCAGUGCUCGGCACACAGUAGGAGCUUCAAACCCGUUCAGUAUAUGAAUAAUUAUGGACUGGGUGAGUCUCUUUAUUUACAAAGGUCUGUCCAGAAAAAGUCCAGCCACUGUUCAUACAAUGAGAACAGUUUGCGCAACAGCGAUGUAACCAGGCAGCCAAGGAGAGGGGACUGGAACGCACAUGCGUGAACAAUGACGACCUC